ACUGUCUCCUGUUUAGGAUGAAAAACCCAAGUCCUGGAGCAGGUCCAGGCUUGCCUAAGGUGAGGGAGCAGGUGAGCCCUGUCGGCCGGCAGAGCCUCUCAUCCCAGCCUUGCUCUCCUCUCCAGCCACCUCGCACCACCUGCAGCCGUUCUUCCAUGCUGUGGCCCAAACUCUUGCUUUCUGGGAAGCAGAACUUGGAUUUGAAGGGUGGCAGAGAGACACGAGAGACCUGGAGAGAAGGGCCACCCGGGGCGCAGGUGCAUUUGGUCAGCAGAAAGGCAGGACCGGAGAUCUGCACGGGACACGGGAGAGAGGCUGAACUGUAGGAAAGAGUAGCUAACCAUGUCAGGAGCACGUUUCUCAAAUUGGCCACGACGAACCCCCGGAGUGAUCAUGAUGGAGAAAAGACCACAAUUAGAAGACAGUGAGAGGAGCUUCAAAGGACUCCAUUGGCUUCCUCUAGCUCUGUAAAAAGUCCAAGAGAUAGGUUUCCCGAGCCAUCUGGAGCUCCUUUUCGGCAGGGUUGAGUCUAGUCUAUACUCCGCAGGAGGAAGUCGCUUGCGUAGUUGGAGACGUCUCCUGUGCAUUGGAGCCAGUGGCUUGAUGUCAACCUUGCUGGAGAACAAACCUAGUUUUACACCAACCUGUUGAAAAGAAGUCUUCCCACUGCUUAGGCAGACUUUGACAGGGAUGGACGCCUAGAGCUCAAAUAACUGUAGGGCCCUGAAGACAUGUUCUCAGCGAAUUUCUAAGAAGAAAUAUGAACAGAAGAGAAUAUAGAUGAAGAGGUUUUGAAACUUAUUCCCACAUGAUAUAGGAAAAAGAAAAGACAAUGCUAAUAAAGUUUUUAGAAGGUGAGGUAGUAUGAAUUUU
rnacentral:lncRNA from 1 species